rnacentral:rRNA from 1 species
CACGCAGUAAACGAUGUUCACUAGGUGUGAGAGGUAUCGACCCCUUUCGUGCCGCAGUUAACGCAUUAAGUGAACCACCUGGGGAAUACGACCGCAAGGUUAAAACUCAAAGAAAUUGACGGGGGCCCGCACAAGCGGUGGAGUAUGUGGUUUAAUUCGAUGCAACCCGAAGAACCUUACCAGAACUUGACAUGUCGAUGCAAGGCUAUGGAAGCAUAGUCCCCUGUACAGCAAUGUAUAGCGUUGAGCACAGGUGG